rnacentral:lncRNA from 1 species
UUUUCCCAGGAUCACCUGAAAAGACAUGUGCACUUGGCUGUUGGGGUGAUGGAAGACUUGGCGUUGCAUCUUCAAUUUCAACAUCGAUCUCACUAUCUGUAUCCAUGUCCAUAUCAGAAUGGAUUGGAGGUGGGGAAUUAGGACACCGCGCAUUUUCAAUAUCUUCAGUGUGAUGUUCAGUAGCAAUCUUCCUUGCUUUCUCUUCAUGUUUUCAAAAAAGGUCCAGAAUGGCACCAUUCCUCUUCAUGUUCUGCUCUGCAAUUAUAUCAAAAUUAAAACAUCAUUGGUAGCAGCAGCAUACUUAAUCAGUUCUACACAAUAUAAGCAUCAACUAUUGACCAUUGCAUAUAAACCAGUACAAAUCUACGCUGGAUUGGGCCACUGGACAUCAACUACUAGCAAUUCAUAUACACUGGACUGGGCAUCAAUUUAUUUGGAAGCAGCAAAGCAUCAACUUUGGGGGAAAGCUUGGAAUCUCACCUUGCUGAUUUGUUCAAACGGAGGUUGGGGAAGAUGAUUUGAGGCCGUCCGGCGCAGUACUGGUCCGACGGUGGUGAGGGAGACGCAGCUGGAGUGGUGUCCAGCCAGCCGCGAGCACAGCAGGAUCGAUCCAGCCGCAGUCCGCACGGGAGACGCAGCGGAUGCCCCUGUCUCGUCUCUCCUGGCCCGACGACGGCGACUGUGGGCGGGGCGAGCGGCGAGAGGAGGGGAACCAGUGGCUGGAGCUCGGAGGAGAGAUGGGUGAGGGCUGAGCCGCUGAGGCGGCGUGGCCAGAGAGGAGACGGAGGCACGGAGCUGCCUUCACACGCGAGAAGAAACCUAGACGGCU